GGGUAUAGCUCAGCAGUAGAGAACAUGCUUAGUAUGCAUGAGGUCCUGGGUUCAAUCCCCAGUACCUCCA
rnacentral:tRNA from 1 species